rnacentral:misc_RNA from 1 species
CAACCGUCAAGCCGUCGCUCUCGACGGGCCUGGUCUUGGGGCUCCGUGCGCGCCGAUCGGCGCGAGACGGCCCUGCAAUGCGUUGGUGGCCGGUUCUCGACGGUGCCGUCGAGAGUAAACCCCGCCCUUGGCCGUUGGAUCGCAAAACGGCCGGGGCGGCUCCGGCCGGCCGGUGUCUCACCUUGAAUCAGU